rnacentral:rRNA from 1 species
CCUACGGGAGGCAGCAGUGAGGAAUAUUGGUCAAUGGGCGAGAGCCUGAACCAGCCAAGUCGCGUGCGGGAAGACGGUCCUAUGGAUUGUAAACCUCUUUUGUCGGGGAGCAACAAGCGGUACGUGUACCGCAUCGAGAGUACCCGGAGAAAAAGCAUCGGCUAACUCCGUGCCAGCAGCCGCGGUAAUACGGAGGAUGCGAGCGUUAUCCGGAUUUAUUGGGUUUAAAGGGUGCGCAGGCGGCGGGUUAAGUCUGCGGUAAAAUUUCGGGGCUCAACCCCGACGAGCCGUGGAAACUGGCGUGCUAGAGUGGGCGAGAAGUAGGCGGAAUGCGUGGUGUAGCGGUGAAAUGCAUAGAUAUGACGCAGAACUCCGAUUGCGAAGGCAGCAUACUGGAGCUCAACUGACGCUCAUGCACGAAAGUGUGGGUAUCGAACAGGAUUAGAUACCCUAGUAGUC